UGGGGAAUAUUGGACAAUGGGGGCAACCCUGAUCCAGCGAUGCCGCGUGAGUGAAGAAGGCCUUCGGGUCGUAAAGCUCUUUAGGACGGGAAGAAGUGUAUAUAGGGAUAAUCUAUAUACAUUGACGGUACUGUCAGAAUAAGCACCGGCAAACUCUGUGCCAGCAGCCGCGGUAAUACAGAGGGUGCGAGCGUUAAUCGGAGUUACUGGGCGUAAAGGGCGCGUAGGCGGUUUAAUGGGUGUGAUGUGAAAGCCCCGAGCUUAACUUGGGAAGUGCAUCGCAAACUGUUGAGCUGGAGUACAAGAGAGGGUGGCGGAAUUUCCGGUGUAGCGGUGAAAUGCGUAGAGAUCGGAAGGAACGUCAAUGGCGAAGGCAGCCACCUAGCUUGAUACUGACGCUGAGGCGCGAAAGCGUGGGGAGCGAACAGGAUUAGAUACCCUGGUAGUCCACGCUGUAAACGAUGAGGACUAGAUGUUGGUUGGGGAACCAAUCAGUAUCGAAGCUAACGCGAUAAGUCUUCCGCCUGGGAAGUACGGCCGCAAGGUUGA
rnacentral:rRNA from 1 species